GACGAACGCUGGCGGCGUGCCUAAUACAUGCAAGUAGAACGCUGAAGGAGGAGCUUGCUUCUCUGGAUGAGUUGCGAACGGGUGAGUAACGCGUAGGUAACCUGCCUGGUAGCGGGGGAUAACUAUUGGAAACGAUAGCUAAUACCGCAUAAGAGUAGAUGUUGCAUGACAUUUGCUUAAAAGGUGCAAUUGCAUCACUACCAGAUGGACCUGCGUUGUAUUAGCUAGUUGGUGGGGUAACGGCUCACCAAGGCGACGAUACAUAGCCGACCUGAGAGGGUGAUCGGCCACACUGGGACUGAGACACGGCCCAGACUCCUACGGGAGGCAGCAGUAGGGAAUCUUCGGCAAGGGACGGAAGUCUGACCGAGCAACGCCGCGGGAGUGAAGAAGGUUGUCGGAUCGUAAAGCUCUGUUGUAAGAGAAGAACGAGUGUGAGAGUGGAAAGUUCACACUGUGACGGUAUCUUACCAGAAAGGGACGGCUAACUACGUG
rnacentral:rRNA from 1 species